rfam:Sistotremastrum niveocremeum HHB9708 unplaced genomic scaffold SISNIscaffold_4, whole genome shotgun sequence.
GGGCGUUUAACUCAGUGGUAGAGUGCCUGCUUUGCAUUGGCUUCUCGAAGCCGAAGACUGCAUGAAGCCGUGAGUUCAAUCCUCACAACGUCCA